rnacentral:lncRNA from 1 species
AGAAAUGAUGUGAUACCGUCAAUGUUUUUCUUCGCAACAAAAUAGAAGAUUCUCGAUUGGAGGUUAUUUCGAGUCCUUCCACAGUGCCCUGCUGAAAAAUACCCAAAGCGGCAGCAUGAGGGAGCGGACACACAACAAGAGCACAACAAGAUUGUGGGACAGAAACCAGCAAGGCACACUGAAAGAGUCAGAUCGCAUCCAACAUCACUUCCAACUCAGCAGGCAAAUCUGGUUGAAAUGACAUAAUUUCAAACAGUUUUGCCCUCUACAUGGGAACCAAUGCCCAGGUCCUCCUGAUCCAAAGCCUGGGUCAUGAACCCUCGUCCAGG